CCCGUCUCAGGGUCAUACCUGGAGAGUUUCCAGUACUCUACCAGUCUCAACUACGGGAGGGAGAGUCGAGCAGAUGCAAACCAUUCCAUUCCUAGCUUGGCCAGUGGCUAGCGAGUGGAAGGCAAUCGGCUACAAGU
rnacentral:snoRNA from 1 species